rnacentral:sRNA from 1 species
AGAGAGGAGGCAAAGGACAAGGCAAAGGAGGUAGUAGGGGACCACAAGGUCGAGGGAAAGGAGGUAAAAAAGGUCAGAGAGGAGAAGAAGCUGCAGAAUUCGGAAAGUCACACAUAAGGGACAAGAGAUGCAAAAAUAAGGU